rnacentral:rRNA from 1 species
CCUACGGGUGGCAGCAGUGAGGAAUAUUGGUCAAUGGACGCGAGUCUGAACCAACCAUGCAGCGUGAAGGAAGACGGCUCUAUGAGUUGUAAACUGCUUUUGUACGAGAGUAAACGCAGAUACGCGUACCUGUCUGUAUGUAUCGUAUGAAUAAGGAUCGGCUAACUCCGUGCCAGCAGCCGCGGUAAUACGGAGGAUUCAAGCGUUAUCCGGAUUUAUUGGGUUUAAAGGGUGCGUAGGUGGUCGGAUAAGUUAGAGGUGAAAGCUCGAGGCUCAACCUUGGAAUUGCAUUUGAUACUGGUCGUCUUGAGAAUAGUUGCGGUAGGCGGAAUGUAUGGUGUAGCGGUGAAAUGCUUAGAGAUCACACAGAACACCGAUUGCGAAGGCAGCUUACCAAGCUACUUCUGACAUUGAGGCACGAAAGCGUGGGGAGCAAACAGGAUUAGAUACCCGUGUAGUC